CUGACGGUGCAGGGUUUCUGGAUGCGUCGCUGGUUUGGGCCAAAAUGGAACGAGGCCCAAUGGUGGUGUCCGAGCACGGCCUACGAGGUGUGGGCUGUAUGCUGGUCGAGACGAACUCGCGGAAUACCCGUAGGAUCGACCCGCGCCUGCCACUUCGUCUUCCUCGCCCGAAAGCCUUGACAAACCCUAAUC